GACGAACGCUGGCGGCGUGCUUAACACAUGCAAGUCGAACGGAAAGGCCCUGCUUUUGUGGGGUGCUCGAGUGGCGAACGGGUGAGUAACACGUGAGUAACCUGCCCUUGACUUUGGGAUAACUUCAGGAAACUGGGGCUAAUACCGGAUAGGAGCUCCUGCUGCAUGGUGGGGGUUGGAAAGUUUCGGCGGUUGGGGAUGGACUCGCGGCUUAUCAGCUUGUUGGUGGGGUAGUGGCUUACCAAGGCUUUGACGGGUAGCCGGCCUGAGAGGGUGACCGGCGACAUUGGGACUGAGGUACGGCCCAGACUCCUACGGGGGGCAGCAGUGGGGAAUAUGGCACAGUGGGCGGAAGCCUGAUGCAGCAACGCCGCGUGCGGGAUGACGGCCUUCGGGUUGUAAACCGCUUUCGCCUGUGACGAAGCGUGAGUGACGGUAAUGGGUAAAGAAGCACCGGCUAACUACGUG
rnacentral:rRNA from 1 species